GGAUCGCAGGCUGCAACCCGCCUGCGUGAAGUUGGAAUUGCUAGUAAUCGCGGAUCAGCAUGCCGCGGUGAAUACGUUCCCGGGCCUUGUACACACCGCCCGUCACACCAUGGGAGCCGGUAAUACCCGAAGUCAGUAGCCUAACCGCAAGGGGGGCGCUGCCGAAGGUAGGAUUGGCGACUGGGGUGAAGUCGUAACAAGGUAGC
rnacentral:rRNA from 1 species